rnacentral:rRNA from 1 species
GCGCACCAGUCGCGAAACCUCCGCAAUACACGAAAGUGUGACGGGGCCAUCCCGAGUGCCGUCCGCUGAGGACGGCUUUUCCCCAGUGUACACAGCUGGGGGAAUAAGGAGAGGGCAAGCCUGGUGUCAGCCGCCGCGGUAAUACCAGCUCUCCGAGUGGUGGGGACGCUUAUUGGGCCUAAAGCAUCCGUAGCCGGCUGGGCAAGUCCUCCGUUAAAUCCAACGAUUCAAUCGUUGGGCUGCGGGGGAUACUGUCCAGCUUGGGGGCGGGAGAGGCCGACGGUAUUCCCGGGGUAGGGGUGAAAUCCUAUAAUCCCGGGAGGACCACCAGUGGCGAAGGCUGUCGGCUAGAACGCGCCCGACGGUGAGGGAUGAAAGCUGGGGGAGCGAACCGGAUUAGAUACCGUGUAGU